rnacentral:rRNA from 1 species
UACGUAGGGUGCGAGCGUUGUCCGGAAUUAUUGGGCGUAAAGAGCUCGUAGGCGGUGUGUCGCGUCGGCCGUGAAAACCUGGGGCUUAACUCUGGGCGUGCGGUCGAUACGGGCAUCACUGGAGUUCGGCAGGGGAGACUGGAAUUCCUGGUGUAGCGGUGAAAUGCGCAGAUAUCAGGAGGAACACCGGUGGCGAAGGCGCCUAUCUGGCCCGAUACUGACGCUGAGGCGCGAAAGCUAGGGGAGCAAACGGG